rnacentral:rRNA from 1 species
CAGCAGCCACGGUAAUACGUAGGGUGCAAGCGUUAAUCGGAAUUACUGGGCGUAAAGCGUGCGCAGGCGGUUUGUUAAGACAGAUGUGAAAUCCCCGGGCUCAACCUGGGAACUGCAUUUGUGACUGGCAAGCUAGAGUCUGGCAGAGGGGGGUGGAAUUCCGCGUGUAGCGGUGAAAUGCGUAGAUAUGCGGAGGAACACCGAUGGCGAAGGCAGCCCCCUGGGCCAACACUGACGCUUAUGCACGAAAGCGUGGGGAGCAAACAGGAUUAGAGACCCCUGUAGUCCCUGUCUCUUAUAC